AGAGAGAGGAAUGAAAGAAAAAAAAAGAAAAGAAAAAAAAGAAAAUAAUAAUAAUAAUAAUAAUAAUAAUAAUAAUAAUGGUGUAUGAGAUGAUCCAUGCACUAGGUGCAUGGAUAAAAUUUAAGUUCAAAUUUUGAACGUGGUUCCAUGCACCAGGUGCAUAGAUUACGAAAAGUGGGACGUUCUCGUAGGUGCGAAUGGGUAUUACAGAUAGCAUAUUAAGUCCUUUCCCUUUCAUGUAUUUACAAGAUGCUCCGCUUUAAUCAUAUAAUAUUUUAUUAUUUUAACUAAAGUGUAAUAUGAGCAAAGAGAAAGGAUUAAUUCGUAAUGUUAUAUACACGAUCCUACAAUCCUAUCGUAACCACCCAUCAUCCCACGAUUCUAUCAUAACCACCCAUAACCUCCCGCGCGUCCAUGAGGUCGGUUACAACCACUCCCAUAAAUGCCUUUCAAAAUAAAUCAAACGGAGAGAGUUUGGAACCUUGAAAUCUAUUC
rnacentral:lncRNA from 1 species